AGUGAACGCUGGCGGUAGGCCUAACACAUGCAAGUCGAACGGCAGCACAGUAAGAGCUUGCUCUUACGGGUGGCGAGUGGCGGACGGGUGAGGAAUACAUCGGAAUCUACUUUUUCGUGGGGGAUAACGUAGGGAAACUUACGCUAAUACCGCAUACGACCUACGGGCGAAAGCAGGGGAUCUUCGGACCUUGCGCGAUUGAAUGAGCCGAUGUCGGAUUAGCUAGUUGGCGGGGUAAAGGCCCACCAAGGCGACGAUCCGUAGCUGGUCUGAGAGGAUGAUCAGCCACACUGGAACUGAGACACGGUCCAGACUCCUACGGGAGGCAGCAGUGGGGAAUAUUGGACAAUGGGCGCAAGCCUGAUCCAGCCAUACCGCGUGGGUGAAGAAGGCCUUCGGGUCGUAAAGCCCUUUUGUUGGGAAAGAAAAGCAGCAGGUUAAUACCCCGCUGUUCUGACGGUACCCAAAGAAUAAGCACCGGCUAACUUCGUG
rnacentral:rRNA from 1 species